CAGCCGCCGCGGUAAUACGUAGGGUGCAAGCGUUAAUCGGAAUUACUGGGCGUAAAGCGUGCGCAGGCGGUUCUAUAAGACAGAUGUGAAAUCCCCGGGCUCAACCUGGGAACUGCAUUUGUGACUGUAGAGCUGGAGUACGGCAGAGGGGGAUGGAAUUCCGCGUGUAGCAGUGAAAUGCGUAGAUAUGCGGAGGAACACCGAUGGCGAAGGCAAUCCCCUGGGCCUGUACUGACGCUCAUGCACGAAAGCGUGGGGAGCAAACAGGAUUAGAUACCCCAGUAGUCCCUGUCUCUUAUAC
rnacentral:rRNA from 1 species